UACAGAGGGGGCAAGCGUUGUUCGGAAUUACUGGGCGUAAAGGGCGCGUAGGCGGCCUUCUAAGUCGAACGUGAAAUCCCCGGGCUCAACCCGGGAACUGCGUCCGAUACUGGAAGGCUUGAAUCCGGGAGAGGGAUGCGGAAUUCCUGGUGUAGCGGUGAAAUGCGCAGAUAUCAGGAGGAACACCGGUGGCGAAGGCGGGUCUCUGGGCAGUAACUGACGCUGAGGAGCGAAAGCGUGGGUAGCAAACAGG
rnacentral:rRNA from 1 species